GGAGAGGUGGCAGAGUGGUCGAAUGCGGCGGUCUCGAAAACCGUUGUGCGGGCAACCGUACCGAGGGUUCGAAUCCCUCCCUCUCCGCCA
rnacentral:tRNA from 1 species